rnacentral:sRNA from 1 species
GCCUGGUGUGGUGGCACACUCCUGUAAUCCCAGUGGCUGGGGAGGCUGAGGCAGGAGGAUUAUGAGUUCAAAAAUCAGACUCAGCAAUUUAGUGAGGUGCUAGGCAACUUUGUGAGACCCUGUCUCUA